UGUUGGGGGUGGGGGAGAGGGGGACACAACAUCUAGUAUAUAGCAUAGCCUCAUGUGAACAGCAUAGCUGGAGAAUAAGGUAUAUUGAGAAAGAGAGGACAGAUGUGAAGGGAUCUGCUUAGGAAGGAUCUCGAGUGUCAUGAUUUUAUCUUUUAGGUAAUGGUGAGUUAUUCAAAGUUUCUUAGGAAAGAAGGGUAAGAUGUUACCAGAGGAGUAGAAUUAAUAGACAUUUCCAUAGAAUUAAAUAAGGUGAUUAAGUAGAAAAGGAAAUAAGGGGGAAAUUUUCUGCAGAUUUGUAGAAAUUCUCUUAGACUGUCUUCAACUCAGUUACAUGACUACUCCACUUGGCAUUUGUUCUUGUCUUACUGAGGUGCCCUACUAUGACAAACUAAGCAUGUUCCUUUACUCCCUAGUCUACUUGUUACUUGAAAUCUAAAAGUCACAGGCUCUAGAAGAUACUCAAUGCACACAUUUCCUGUUAGUAAAUGGGAUCCACUUUAUUUAUCCACGAGCAAGAUUUCCACUUAAGUAUUUUAUAAAUGGGAAGUAUUUGUUAGAAUAGGAGUGGGGUUCAUUGUUGGAGAACAUUGGAAUCCUUUUUCAAUGACCGUGAAUAGGUCAGGAAGAUUUUGGUGGCAAAUAAUUGAAAACCUCACACAACUAGCUUAAAUGGCCUGUAGUGACACUGCUCCGGAUUUCACCUCAAUGCCUAACAUUAUCCAGAAGAGAAAGAAUCUAUUCAGGAGGAGAAACAACUUUUCUAGAAGUCUCCUGCAAUGAUCUGCCUGCUAGAAAGGUCCAAUUUUCAAGCUUUUUCUCUGGGAAAUGAAAUACAAAGAACCUCGUGGACCAUCUAUAGCCCUCACAUGCCAUGAGGCUGAAGAGAAUGGAGGGAAAGCAAGAGGACCUUGGCCUGACCCAAUUUUAUUUAGUUGAGAGAGAAAGAAAGAGAGAGUGGGAGGGAGAAGGAAAGAGAUUUUGAAGCAGACUCCAAGCUGAGCACAGAGCUGAACGUGGGGGUUCAGUGCCAUGACUGCAAGACCGUUCCUGAUCUGAGCCAAAACCAAGAUCGGCCGCUCAACUGACUGAGCCACUCAGGAAACGUUAUUGGAAACAAGUUUCAGCAGUGUGCAUUGUCAUGGAAAGUGAGGUCCAACUAAGAAAAAGGUGAUCCAUGUCCCCCUCCUGCUCGCUCAGGGACUUACCUGCAGGCACUGGAUUCCUGGAAGUUACAUGCAGGCAUGGAUUGGUCCCAUGUACCAACCCAAAGCUCCUUCCUCC